rnacentral:rRNA from 1 species
UACGGAGGGAGCAAGCGUUACUCGGAAUUAUUGGGCGUAAAGGGCGCGUAGGCGAUUUGAAAAGUCUUGUGUGAAAGCCCCGGGCUUAACCCGGGAAGUGCACAAGAAACUGUUGAAUUUGAGUUCCGGAGAGGAAGGCAGAAUUCCCGGUGUAGCGGUGAAAUGCGUAGAUAUCGGGAGGAAUGACCAGUGGCGAAGGCGGCUCACUGGCCCGGUACUGACGCUGAGGUGCGAAAGCGUGGGGAGCAAACAGG